UACGAGGGGGGCUAGUGCUGUUCGGAAUCACUGGGCGUAAAGGGAGCGUAGGCGGGAGCCUAAGUUGGGUGUUUAAUUCCGGGGCCCAACCCCGGGCGUGCACUCAAAACUGGGUUUCUUGAAUAGGGGAGAGGUCGGUGGAAUUGGAGGUGUAGCGGUGGAAUGCGUAGAGAUCUCCAAGAACACCCGUUGCGAAGGCGGCCGACUGGACCCAUAUUGACGCUGAGGCUCGAAAGCAUGGGGAGCAAACAGG
rnacentral:rRNA from 1 species